rnacentral:rRNA from 1 species
UAGGGAAUCUUCGGCAAUGGGGGCAACCCUGACCGAGCAACGCCGCGUGAGUGAAGAAGGUUUUCGGAUCGUAAAGCUCUGUUGUAAGUCAAGAACGAGUGUGAGAGUGGAAAGUUCACACUGUGACGGUAGCUUACCAGAAAGGGACGGCUAACUACGUGCCAGCAGCCGCGGUAAUACGUAGGUCCCGAGCGUUGUCCGGAUUUAUUGGGCGUAAAGCGAGCGCAGGCGGUUUGAUAAGUCUGAAGUUAAAGGCUGUGGCUCAACCAUAGUUCGCUUUGGAAACUGUCAAACUUGAGUGCAGAAGGGGAGAGUGGAAUUCCAUGUGUAGCGGUGAAAUGCGUAGAUAUAUGGAGGAACACCGGUGGCGAAAGCGGCUCUCUGGUCUGUAACUGACGCUGAGGCUCGAAAGCGUGGGGAGCGAACAGGAUUAGAUACCCUGGUAGUCCACGCCGUANCGAUGAGUGCUAGGUGUUGGAUCCUUUCCGGGAUUCAGUGCCGGAGCUAACGCAUUAAGCACUCCGCCUGGGGAGUACGACCGCAAGGUU